rnacentral:rRNA from 1 species
AGCAGCCGCGGUAAUUCCAGCUCCAAUAGCGUAUAUUAAAGUUGUUGCAGUUAAAAAGCUCGUAGUUGAAUUUCGGGGUCAGCAAGUUGGUCGUGCCACUGGUAUGCACUGGCUUUGCUGAUUCCUCCUUCUUGUAGAACCGUAAUGCCAUUUAGUUGGUGUUGCGGGGAAACAGGACUGUUACUUUGAAAAAAUUAGAGUGUUUAAAGCAGGCUAACGCCUGAAUACAUUAGCAUGGAAUAAUGAAAUAGGACGAGCGAUCCUAUUUUGUUGGUUUCUAGGAUUGACGUAAUGAUUAAUAGGGAUAGUUGGGGGCAUUAGUAUUCAAUUGUCAGAGGUGAAAUUCUUGGAUUUAUUGAAGACUGACUACUGCGAAAGCAUUUGCCAAGGAUGUUUUCAUUAAUCAAGAACGAAAGUUAGGGGAUCGAAAGACGAAUCAGAUACCGUCGUAGUCUUAAACCGUAAACUAUGCGACUAGGGAUCGGAUGAUGUUAAUUUUUUAAUGUACUCAUUCGGCGUA